rnacentral:siRNA from 1 species
AGGUUUUGCACCAUGAUGAUCCAA